GAUGAACGCUGGCGGCGUGCUUAACACAUGCAAGUCGAACGAAGCACUUGGAUCUCUUCGGAGUGAUGAGUGACUGAGUGGCGGACGGGUGAGUAACGCGUGGGUAACCUGCCUCGUACAGGGGGACAACAGUUGGAAACGACUGCUAAUACCGCAUAAGCGCACAGCAUCGCAUGAUGCAGUGUGAAAAGCUGAGGCGGUACGAGAUGGACCCGCGUUGGAUUAGCUAGUUGGUGGGGUAACGGCCUACCAAGGCGACGAUCCAUAGCCGACCUGAGAGGGUGACCGGCCACAUUGGGACUGAGACACGGCCCAAACUCCUACGGGAGGCAGCAGUGGGGAAUAUUGCACAAUGGGCGAAAGCCUGAUGCAGCGACGCCGCGUGAGCGAUGAAGUAUUUCGGUAUGUAAAGCUCUAUCAGCAGGGAAGAAAAUGACGGUACCUGACUAAGAAGCUCCGGCUAAAUACGUGCCAGCCGCCGCAGUAACAC
rnacentral:rRNA from 1 species